AUUAGCUAGUUGGUGAGGUAACGGCUCACCAAGGCGACGAUGCGUAGCCGACCUGAGAGGGUGAUCGGCCACACUGGGACUGAGACACGGCCCAGACUCCUACGGGAGGCAGCAGUAGGGAAUCUUCCGCAAUGGACGAAAGUCUGACGGAGCAACGCCGCGUGAGUGAUGAAGGUUUUCGGAUCGUAAAGCUCUGUUGUUAGGGAAGAACAAGUGCAAGAGUAACUGCUUGCACCUUGACGGUACCUAACCAGAAAGCCACGGCUAACUACGUGCCAGCAGCCGCGGUAAUACGUAGGUGGCAAGCGUUGUCCGGAAUUAUUGGGCGUAAAGGGCUCGCAGGCGGUUUCUUAAGUCUGAUGUGAAAGCCCCCGGCUCAACCGGGGAGGGUCAUUGGAAACUGGGAAACUUGAGUGCAGAAGAGGAGAGUGGAAUUCCACGUGUAGCGGUGAAAUGCGUAGAGAUGUGGAGGAACACCAGUGGCGAAGGCGACUCUCUGGUCUGUAACUGACGCUGAGGAGCGAAAGCGUGGGGAGCGAACAGGAUUAGAUACCCUGGUAGUCCACGCCGUAAACGAUGAGUGCUAAGUGUUAGGGGGUUUCCGCCCCUUAGUGCUGCAGCUAACGCAUUAAGCACUCCGCCUGGGGAGUACGGUCGCAAGACUGAAACUCAAAGGAAUUGACGGGGGCCCGCACAAGCGGUGGAGCAUGUGGUUUAAUUCGAAGCAACGCGAAGAACCUUACCAGGUCUUGACAUCCUCUGACAACCCUAGAGAUAGGGCUUUCCCUUCGGGGACAGAGUGACAGGUGGUGCAUGGUUGUCGUCAGCUCGUGUCGUGAGAUGUUGGGUUAAGUCCCGCAACGAGCGCAACCCUUGAUCUUAGUUGCCAGCAUUCAGUUGGGCACUCUAAGGUGACUGCCGGUGACAAACCGGAGGANAGGUNGGGGAUGACGUCAAAUCAUCAUGCCCCUUAUGACCUGGGCUACACACGUGCUACAAUGGACAGANACAAAGGGCUG
rnacentral:rRNA from 1 species